UACGUAGGAGGCGAGCGUUGUCCGGAAUUACUGGGCGUAAAGCGCGCGCAGGCGGCCCGCGAGGUGUCACGUGAAAGCCCCGGGCUCAACCCGGGAGGGUCGUGGCAAACCGGCGGGCUUGAAGCCGGUAGAGGUGGGUGGAACUCCUGGUGGAGUGGUGAAAUGCGUAGAGAUCAGGAAGAACACCCGUGGCGAAGGCGGCCCACUGGGCCGGUACUGACGCUGAGGCGCGAAGGCGUGGGGAGCGAACGGG
rnacentral:rRNA from 1 species